GCUGGCAUGACGCUGCUGCUCUCCGCAGGGUCAUGGCGUGCUGGAGAUGCCUUCGGGGACAGGGAAGACGGUGUCGCUGCUGUCCCUCAUCGUUGCCUAUCAGCGGGCCCGGCCGUUGGACCUCACCAAGCUCAUCUACUGCUCCCGCACGGUGCCGGAGAUCGAGAAGGUGAUCGAGGAGCUGCGGAAGCUCAUGGAUUUCUACGAGAAGCAGCUGGGGGAGAAGGUGCCGUUCCUGGGGCUGGCGCUGAGCUCCAGGAAGAACCUGUGCAUCCACCCCGAGGUGGGUGGCAUGGUGGCAGCGCGCGGUGGCAGUGGGGGGAGGGGGGGAGGGGGGAACGGC
rnacentral:lncRNA from 1 species